GUUUUUAUAGUUUAAUAAUUAGAACAUUAUAUUUUCAUUAUAAAGGUAAUUUAUAUUUAAAAACU
rnacentral:tRNA from 1 species